rnacentral:rRNA from 1 species
UGGGGAAUUUUGGACAAUGGGGGAAACCCUGAUCCAGCCAUCCCGCGUGUGCGAUGAAGGCCUUCGGGUUGUAAAGCACUUUUGGCAGGAAAGAAACGUCGCGGGUUAAUACCCCGCGAAACUGACGGUACCUGCAGAAUAAGCACCGGCUAACUACGUGCCAGCAGCCGCGGUAAUACGUAGGGUGCAAGCGUUAAUCGGAAUUACUGGGCGUAAAGCGUGCGCAGGCGGUUCGGAAAGAAAGAUGUGAAAUCCCAGAGCUUAACUUUGGAACUGCAUUUUUAACUACCGGGCUAGAGUGUGUCAGAGGGAGGUGGAAUUCCGCGUGUAGCAGUGAAAUGCGUAGAUAUGCGGAGGAACACCGAUGGCGAAGGCAGCCUCCUGGGAUAACACUGACGCUCAUGCACGAAAGCGUGGGGAGCAAACAGGAUUAGAUACCCUGGUAGUCCACGCCCUAAACGAUGUCAACUAGCUGUUGGGGCCUUCGGGCCUUGGUAGCGCAGCUAACGCGUGAAGUUGACCGCCUGGGGAGUACGGUCGCAAGAUUAAAACUCAAAGGAAUUGACGGGGUCAUAGCUGUUUUCCU